GGAGAGAUGGCAGAGUGGUAAUGCAGCAGAUUGCUAAUCUGUAACCGGGUAACUGGUUCCAGGGUUCGAGUCCCUGUCUCUCCG
rnacentral:tRNA from 4 species